GACGAACGCUGGCGGCGUGCCUAAUACAUGCAAGUGGAACGCAUGAUUGAUACCGGAGCUUGCUUCACCCUGAAUCAUGAGUCGCGAACGGGUGAGUAACGCGUAGGUAACCUACCUCAUAGCGGGGGAUAACUAUUGGAAACGAUAGCUAAUACCGCAUAACAGUAUUUAUCACAUGGUAAAUGCUUGAAAGGAGCAAUUGCUUCACUAUGAGAUGGACCUGCGUUGUAUUAGCUAGUUGGUGGGGUAACGGCUCACCAAGGCAUCGAUACAUAGCCGACCUGAGAGGGUGAUUGGCCACACUGGGAAUGAGACACGGCCCAAACUCCUACGGGAGGCAGCAGUGGGGAAUAUUGCACAAUGGGGGAAACCCUGAUGCAGCGACGCCGCGUGAGCGAAGAAGUAUUUCGGUAUGUAAAGCUCUAUCAGCCGGGAAGAAAAUGACGGUACCUGACUAAGAAGCACCGGCUAAAUACGUG
rnacentral:rRNA from 1 species